rnacentral:lncRNA from 1 species
AUGGACUCGCUGUACUCUGACUCUCCCAUUUGGAGGCAGUUGGUGACAACGGUGACAAGUGAGGGACCCACUUCGAGGCUUCAUCGUCAUGGAUGGGAAGCAGGCACAGCUCCUGCCUGCCCCAGCUCAAGAGCUUGGGAGCUUUUCCUUUGUCUUUUUAUUGUUCCCUUCGCUGAUGUUAUUUCCCUCUGUUUCACUUGUGUUUUAAUUACACAGCAGCUCGGGGCACCCACACACCUCCAGAACCAAAAGCUGUGCUUUGCGUCUUACGUGAGAGGAUGUGCUCACACAUCGGUGGGAAGCAAGCGGAGAUCUCAUCGUCCCCAGCAGUGCCAGGACGUAGGGAGAUAAUGGAGACCAGAAACAAGCAUCUUCCUGGAAUGAUCCCCACCAGACAAGCUCUCUUCAGGCUGCCCUCGCUGUACCCUCCCACGGUAUGUACAGGCCCAGACACGAGGCGACAAAGCAUGUGGGAAGUCAACAUCAAAGCCAGUGCUUGUUGCGGAGCCUUCCUCAGGCCCUGUCAUCUCAGGAGUGGGCUGGAUAGCCUGGUGCCAAAAUUACUGUGUUUCCACAGAGCAGGAUUUAUACAGUCUGGAGAUUUUGUGUAGCAGGCCUGGUAGAAACCAUCAAAGGGAGAAACAGCUGGUUACAGGAACCGAUAAGGAGGUAUGUGCCACAGAAUGAGGAUUCUUCCAGGCAAAUGAAGACGGGCUGGUGAUUUAUGUGUAGUGGAAAUUAGUUAUCAUUAAAACAGAUGGGUUGGAGGAAUGAGAAGGGAAGCUCAGUCACAGGAGUCCUGGGAGGUGGUGAACAAGUCCAGAAGGCUCAUACCCCAGGAGAAACACAAAGCUAUGCUGGGCUCCUCUUGGAAGAAAGGAAGCACAAGCCAGGUGCAGAAUGAGGCCUCUGGGCCAGAGAAUGUCCACUUGCUCCGCAAACACGAGUGAAUGAAGCACCACCACAGAGCGAGUGCUUCUAUCCCCGUUUCUGGUGGGACAUAGAGCUGUAAAUGAGGAGGCACCACUGGAGGUUCUGGAAAACAGAGCUGGUCAUGUCUGGAAGUUUGUAUGGAGAUACUUUGGUUACAGAGGAAGAGUAAUGCAGUGAAAAUGAGUAUAAUUUAAGAUGAGGUAAAGAGACCACAAAUAAAUGGAAGCCUCUG